rnacentral:rRNA from 1 species
AGUGAACGCUGGCGGUAGGCCUAACACAUGCAAGUCGAACGGCAGCACAGUAAGAGCUUGCUCUUACGGGUGGCGAGUGGCGGACGGUUGAUGAAUACAUCGGAAUCUACUUUUUCGUGGGGGAUAACGUAGGGAAACUUACGCUAAUACCGCAUACGACCUACGUGUGAAAGCAGGGGAUCUUCGGACCUUGCGCGAUUGAAUGAGCCGAUGUCGGAUUAGCUAGUUGGCGGGGUAAAGGCCCACCAAGGCGACGAUCCGUAGCUGGUCUGAGAGGAUGAUCAGCCACACUGGAACUGAGACACGGUCCAGACUCCUACGGGAGGCAGCAGUGGGGAAUAUUGGACAAUGGGCGCAAGCCUGAUCCAGCCAUACCGCGUGGGUGAAGAAGGCCUUCGGGUUGUAAAGCCCUUUUGUUUGGAAAGAAAAGCAGCAGGUUAAUACCCCGCUGUUCUGACGGUACCCAAAGAAUAAGCACCGGCUAACUUCGUG